GACGAACGCUGGCGGCGUGCCUAACACAUGCAAGUCGAACGGAACUGUUUUGAAAGAUUUCUUCGGAAUGAAUUUGAUUUAGUUUAGUGGCGGACGGGUGAGUAACGCGUGAGUAACCUGCCUUCAAGAGGGGAAUAACAUUCUGAAAGAAUGCUAAUACCGCAUGACAUAUCGGAACCACAUGGUUUUGAUAUCAAAGAUUUUAUCGCUUGAAGAUGGACUCGCGUCCGAUUAGUUAGUUGGUGAGGUAACGGCUCACCAAGACCGCGAUCGGUAGCCGGACUGAGAGGUUGAACGGCCACAUUGGGACUGAGACACGGCCCAGACUCCUACGGGAGGCAGCAGUGGGGGAUAUUGCGCAAUGGGGGCAACCCUGACGCAGCAACGCCGCGUGAAGGAUGAAGGUUUUCGGAUUGUAAACUUCUUUUAUUAAGGACGAAAAAUGACGGUACUUAAUGAAUAAGCUCCGGCUAACUACGUG
rnacentral:rRNA from 1 species